AACGGAGGGGGCAAGCGUUGUUCGGAAUUAUUGGGCGUAAAGGGCACGUAGGUGGACUAGUAAGUUAAAAGUGAAAUACCAGAGCUUAACUUUGGAGCUGCUUUUAAUACUGCUAGACUAGAGGUCGAAAGAGGAUAGCGGAAUUCCUAGUGUAGAGGUGAAAUUCGUAGAUAUUAGGAGGAACACCAGUGGCGAAGGCGGCUAUCUGGUUCGAUACUGACACUGAGGUGCGAAAGCGUGGGGAGCAAACA
rnacentral:rRNA from 1 species